GCCAAGAUUCCAUUGCCACCAAGUAACUCUCGACCAAGGGAAACUGUUUCCCUUGCCCUCAAGGAAGUCCAUGCCUUCGCUAAGCUAGCUUGACCUGGAGUCAUUUUCCCAGCUUCAUAUAACUUACAGAGGCGCCAUCCAACAAGAAUCAUUGCUUGAAUAUUACCAAGCAUUCUAACAAGUUUUUCUUGGUUAAGCUGAAAUGCUGCCAGUGGAGCUCCAAAUUGCUUCCUCUCUUUCAGAUACCUGUGGCACAUAUCGAACACACCCAUCGAUACACCAAUUGGUUGCCAUGCGACCAUAACACGUGAAACAGCAAGAACCUUGCUCGUGUCUUGAAAAGAAUUCACUCCUGGAAGCCUGUCUUCCUCAGGAACAAAUACUUUAUUCAUAAGAAUAUCUCCAUUCUGGACCAUUCUUAGGCCAAUUUUAUUUUCAAUUUUAGUUACAUUCAACCCUGGGGCACCUUUAUUCAGAAUGUAACCAUUUAUCUGGUUUGUGCUGGUGUUGCGAGCAAAAACAACCAAUACAUCAGCAAAAGUACUGUUCCCUAUCCAGCGUUUUUGGCCAUCAAUUAGCCAACCUCCCGUUACCUUUGUAGCUACGGUUCUCAGAGAACUAGCAUCACUUCCAUAAUCCGGCUCAGUCAAAGCCCAACAACCAAUGGUGCGUAAUUGAGCUAAUGAAGGUAGGUACUUUUGCUUUUGUUCCUCCGAUCCA
rnacentral:misc_RNA from 1 species